rnacentral:rRNA from 1 species
UGGCGGACGGGUGAGUAACGCGUGGGUAACCUGCCUUGUACUGGGGGACAACAGUUAGAAAUGACUGCUAAUACCGCAUAAGCGCACAGUAUCGCAUGAUACAGUGUGAAAAACUCCGGUGGUACAAGGUGGACCCGCGUCUGAUUAGCUAGUUGGUAAGGUAACGGCUUACCAAGGCGACGAUCAGUAGCCGACCUGAGAGGGUGACCGGCCACAUUGGGACUGAGACACGGCCCAA